GACGAACGCUGGCGGCGUGCCUAAUACAUGCAAGUAGAACGCUGAAGCUUGGUGCUUGUACCGAGCGGAUGAGUUGCGAACGGGUGAGUAACGCGUAGGUAACCUUCCUGGUAGCGGGGGAUAACUACUGGAAACGAUAGCUAAUACCGCAUAAUAGUAGAUGUUGCAUGACAUUUGCUUAAUAGGUGCAAUUGCAUCACUACCAGGUGGAUCUGCGUUGUAUUAGCUAGUUGGUGAGGUAACGGCUCACCAAGGCAACGAUACAUAGCCGACCUGAGAGGGUGAUCGGCCACACUGGGACUGAGACACGGCCCAGACUCCUACGGGAGGCCGCAGUAGGGAAUCUUCGGCAAUGGACGGAAGGCUGGCCGAGCAACGCCGGGUUAGUGAAGGAGGGUUUCGGGUCGUAAAGCUCUGUUGUAAGAGAAGAACGAGUGUGAGAGUGGAAAGUUCACGCUGUGACGGUAUCUUACCAGAAAGGGACGGCUAACUACGUG
rnacentral:rRNA from 1 species